rnacentral:rRNA from 1 species
UACCAGCACCCCCGAGUGGUCGGGACGAUUAUUGGGCCUAAAGCAUCCGUAGCCGGUUCUACAAGUCUUCCGUUAAAUCCACCUGCUUAACAGAUGGGCUGCGGGAGGAUACUAUGGAGCUAGGAGGCGGGAGAGGCAAGCGGUACUUAGUGGGUAGGGGUAAAAUCCGUUGAUCCAUUGAAGACCACCAGUGGCGAAGGCGGCUUGCCAGAACGCACUCGACGGUGAGGGAUGAAAGCUGGGGGGAGCAAACCGGG